GGGAAGGCAAUAAUGCAAGUUCAAGCGAGCUUGCCUAGAUGAUUUUAGUGCUUGCACUAAAUGAAACUAGAUACACCCUUAAAAGGACGGGUGAGUAACACGUGGGUAACCUGCCCCUUAAAAAAGGAUAANANNUGGAAANAGAUGGUAAUAGNGGAUAAGAAGAAUAGAGGAAUGUUUAGAGUUUGAAUUCUGGAAAUGCUAUCACUCUUGGAUGGAGCUGCGGUGCAUUAGCUAGUUGGUAAGGUAACGGCUUACCACGGCAAUGAUGCAUAGCCGAGUUGAGAGACUGAUCGGCCACAUUGGGACUGAGACACGGCCCAAACUCCUACGGGAGGCAGCAGUAGGGAAUCUUCCACAAUGGACGAAAGUCUGAUGGAGCAACGCCGCGUGAGUGAAGAAGGGUUUCGGCUCGUAAAGUUCUGUUGGUAGUGAAGAAAGAUAGAGGUAGUAACUGGCCUUUAUUUGACGGUAAUUACUUAGAAAGUCACGGCUAACUACGUGCCAGCAGCCGCGGUAAUACGUAGGUGGCAAGCGUUGUCCGGAUUUAUUGGGCGUAAAGCGAGUGCAGGCGGUUCAAUAAGUCUGAUGUGAAAGCCUUCGGCUCAACCGGAGAAUUGCAUCAUAAACUGUUGAACUUGAGUGCAGAAGAGGAGAGUGGAACUCCAUGUGUAGCGGUGGAAUGCGUAAAUAUAUGGAA
rnacentral:rRNA from 1 species